UUCAAAAUCCAAGAAAGUUCGGAAACCAAAGAAUGAAACCGGGAACAGUUACCCCACUGCCAGAACAGAUUGCUGAGCCAACCAACACUCGCUCCAUGUCGCUUGUGGGAACUCACGAGUACCUGGCGCCUGAAACCAUCAAAGGUGAAGGGAAUGCGGUGCUGUUGAUUGGUGGAAUUUUGGGAUCUUUCUGUAUGAGCUAUUAUUUGGUAAAACUCCCUUCAAGGGCUCCGAAAACAGGGCUACCCUGUUUAAUAGUCCAAAUAAUUUCUCUUUCACAGCUAUAAUUUUUGUUGUCUCUAACUUUCAAUUUUAAUUACAAAUUUGGUAAACAUUUUCAUUUCUAAUGCUGGCCGAAACUCUAGACAUUGAGCACAUAUCAAAGUUCUACUUUAAAAAAUUCAAUUGGUUUGUGUUUGGUGGACAGGUGGCUUUUCUUCUAAUAAAUCAUAGAACUCCUUUCGGAUGUGGAAGGCAAUGAUAAUGCACCAUGGUUUGCUCAAUAAAGUUUCUGCUAUUCCUUUGUUAAUUUUCCAAGAGGUGCUGCUGUUCAAAUGUUGCAAUUUGGGAGCAUUAUGAGAAUGUUGGUGAAGAUUCUAUUGAAGCCUUCAAAAGUUUAAUAUGAAUGAUUGUCCUUUUCAGAAAACGCAGGGCGAAGGGAACGAAAGACAAGAGUUGUUGAAGAUAUAUAGCCACAAUAUUCCUUGGAUUAACAUUGAUCACAAGUUCGUCUACCAUCCCUACGAGGAAGGAUGAUCUUCGAUUAGAUUCAAUCCUUUAAUUACAACAUUCCAUCCUUAUGCUCUUUUCAGGAUCCAAACAACUCUCGGA